rnacentral:rRNA from 1 species
CUGUUAGAGCAAUCGAAGCAGUGAACUUAAGCCCCAGUAAACGGCGGCCGUAACUAUAACGGUCCUAAGGUAGCGAAAUUCCUUGUCGGGUAAGUUCCGACCCGCACGAAAGGCGUAACGAUUUGGGCACUGUCUCAACAACAGACUCGGUGAAAUUGUAAUUCCGGUGAAGAUGCCGGAUACCUGCGACAGGACGGAAAGACCCCAUGGAGCUUUACUGUAGCUUGACAUUGGGUCUUGGUACUACAUGUACAGGAUAGGUGGGAGGCUUUGAAACCAGGACGCCAGUUUUGGCGGAGCCAUCCUUGGGAUACCACCCUUGUAGUACUGGGACUCUAACCAUAGGCCAUGAAUCUGGUCUUGGGACACUGUCAGGUGGGCAGUUUGACUGGGGCGGUCGCCUCCCAAAAGGUAACGGAGGCGCUCAAAGGUUCUCUCAGUACGGUCGGAAAUCGUACGUAGAGUGUAAAGGCAAAAGAGAGCUUGAUUGCAAGACAUACAGGUCGAGCAAGGAUGAAAAUCGGACUUAGUGAUCCGGUGGUUCUGCGUGGAAGGGCCAUCGCUCAACGGAUAAAAGCUACCCUGGGGAUAACAGGCUUAUCUCCCCCAAGAGUCCACAUCGACGGGGAGGUUUGGCACCUCGAUGUCGGCUCAUCACAUCCUGGGGCUGUAGUAGGUCCCAAGGGUUGGGCUGUUCGCCCAUUAAAGUGGUACGCGAGCUGGGUUCAGAACGUCGUGAGACAGUUCGGUCCCUAUCCGUCGCAGGCGUAGGAAAUUUGAGAAGACCUGUCCUUAGUACGAGAGGACCGGGAUGGACG